ACUGGAGGGGGCAGCGAGGCUCGGACAAGAGUAGGAGGACUUGGAAAGCAGCCCACCCCUCCAGACAGGGCGCAUCCGAGCACAGUCGGAGCUGCAGCCCAGAUGCCGGAGGUCAGGGACGCUCCAGGAGAACUCUGGGGCUUCGCAGAAGGCGAGGCCGUCGUGGAAGUAACGCGCUGAGACUCCUGGCCCCAGCUUGUGACCCCGAGAACCCAGAAAAGCGAGCUGGCAGGAAGGGUCUGGAAUACCUUUUCCUAGAGACCAGACCAGCCCAGCCACACACCUCCUGCAAGCCUGUCUCUGGCUACUGUACCUCCACUGCCUUCUCCAUCCCUAGGCCCUACUGCGAGGCCAGUCAACAACAACCAGGACUGGCACAAGCACAUUUGUACAGAGUACCUGCCACAGGUCAGCACUGAGAGCCUAGCACUUUGCCUGUUCAUCUCCUUGAACCAGUGUGGGUCACCAUCAUUCUCCUCCCUCCCUUCACCACCUGCUCCCCAGCUCAUACAAUUGACUGUC